AAUUCGUGAAGCGGUUCUACAGCUUUGGAAAGGAGCGAAUCUACAGCUUGAGAAAUGUGGAGACGUUUUGCGUUAAUUUAUAUUCGCGUAUCGUCUUAAAGAUCUUGUUCUGAGGAUU